rnacentral:rRNA from 1 species
GACGAACGCUGGCGGCGUGCCUAAUACAUGCAAGUCGAACGCUUCUUUCCUCCCGAGUGCUUGCACUCAAUUGGAAAGAGCAGUGGCGGACGGGUGAGUAACACGUCGGUAACCUACCCAUCAGAGGGGGAUAACACUUGGAAACAGGUGCUAAUACCGCAUAACAGUUUAUGCCGCAUGGCAUAAGAGUGAAGGGCGCUUUCGGGUGUCGCUGAUGGAUGGACCCGCGGUGCAUUAGCUAGUUGGUGAGGUAACGGCUCACCAAGGCCACGAUGCAUAGCCGACCUGAGAGGGUGAUCGGCCACACUGGGACUGAGACACGGCCCAGACUCCUGCGGGAGGCAGCAGUAGGGAAUCUUCGGCAAUGGACGAAUGUCUGACCGAGCAACGCCGCGUGAGUGAAGAAGGUUUUCGGAUCGUAAAACUCUGUUGUUAGAGAAGAACAAGGACGUUAGUAACUGAACGUCCCCUGACGGUAUCUAACCAGAAAGCCACGGCUAACUACGUG